GACUGUUAUGGUGGCCUAGUGGUUAGAGCAUCUGCCAUGGAUGCAGGAGGUCACGGGUUCAAACCACAGCCAUGUCA